UACGUAGGUGGCAAGCGUUGUCCGGAUUUACUGGGCGUAAAGAGCGCGCAGGCGGACGUUCAAGUCGCGUGUGAAAGCCCCCGGCUCAACUGGGGAGGGUCACGCGAUACUGAUCGACUCGAAGGCAGGAGAGGGUAGUGGAAUUCCCGGUGUAGUGGUGAAAUUCGUAGAUAUUGGGAAGAACACCGGUGGCGAAGGCGGCGACCUGGUCCGAUACUGACGCUGAGGCGCGAAAGCGUGGGGAGCAAACAGG
rnacentral:rRNA from 1 species